UACGGGGGGAGCAAGCGUUGUUCGGAUUUACUGGGCGUAAAGGGCGCGUAGGCGGGAUGGCAAGUCGGUCGUGAAAUCCCUCGGCUCAACUGAGGAGCGUCGAUCGAAACUGCCGUUCUUGAGGGUUGCAGAGGAGACUGGAAUUCCCGGUGUAGCGGUGAAAUGUGUAGAGAUCGGGAGGAACACCGGUGGCGAAGGCGGGUCUCUGGGCAACUCCUGACGCUGAGGCGCGAAAGCGUGGGGAGCAAACGGG
rnacentral:rRNA from 1 species